rnacentral:rRNA from 1 species
GGGUUGUGAGGUUAAGCGACUAAGCGUACACGGUGGAUGCCCUGGCAGUCAGAGGCGAUGAAGGGCGUACUAAUCUGCGAUAAGCGCCGGUAAGGUGAUAUGAACCGUUAUAACCGGCGAUACCCGAAUGGGGAAACCCAGUGUGAUUCGUCACACUAUCAUUAACUGAAUCCAUAGGUUAAUGAGGCGAACCGGGGGAACUGAAACAUCUAAGUACCCCGAGGAAAAGAAAUCAACCGAGAUUCCCCCAGUAGCGGCGAGCGAACGGGGAGGAGCCCAGAGCCUGAAUCAGCAUGUGUGUUAGUGGAAGCGUCUGGAAAGGCGCGCGAUACAGGGUGACAGCCCCGUACACAAAAGCGCAUGUGCUGUGAGCUCGAUGAGUAGGGCGGGACACGUGGUAUCCUGUCUGAAUAUGGGGGGACCAUCCUCCAAGGCUAAAUACUCCUGACUGACCGAUAGUGAACCAGUACCGUGAGGGAAAGGCGAAAAGAACCCCGGCGAGGGGAGUGAAAAAGAACCUGAAACCGUGUACGUACAAGCAGUGGGAGCCCCACCACCAAAGCAUUUGCUGUACCGCGUUGACGGAGCGAAGCGACGUCAAACCGAUAAAACAGCAGUG